rnacentral:rRNA from 1 species
UAAGGAAUAUUGGUCAAUGGAGGGAACUCUGAACCAGCCAUGCCGCGUGCAGGAUGACUGCCCUACGGGUUGUAAACUGCUUUUAUACGGGAACAAACCCUACUACGUGUAGUAGGCUGAGUGUACUGUAGGAAUAAGGAUCGGCUAACUCCGUGCCAGCAGCCGCGGUAAUACGGAGGAUCCGAGCGUUAUCCGGAUUUAUUGGGUUUAAAGGGUGCGUAGGCGGCUUCAUAAGUCAGUGGUGAAAUUCGGCAGCUCAACUGUCGGCGUGCCUUUGAUACUGUGGAGCUUGAAUUUGGUCGAAGGAGGCGGAAUGGGACAAGUAGCGGUGAAAUGCAUAGAUAUGUCCCGGAACCCCAAUUGCGAAGGCAGCUUCCUAGGUCAUUAUUGACGCUGAUGCACGAAAGCGUGGGGAUCGAACAGG